CCUACGGGGUGCAGCAGUGAGGAAUAUUGGUCAAUGGACGCAAGUCUGAACCAGCCAUGCCGCGUGCAGGAUGACGGCUCUAUGAGUUGUAAACUGCUUUUGUACGAGGGUAAACCCCGAUACGUGUAUCGGGUUGAAAGUAUCGUACGAAUAAGGAUCGGCUAACUCCGUGCCAGCAGCCGCGGUAAUACGGAGGAUCCGAGCGUUAUCCGGAUUGAUUGGGUUUAAAGGGUGCGUAGGCGGUUUGAUAAGUUAGAGGUGAAAGGUCGGGGCUCAACCCCGAAACUGCCUCGAAUACUGUUGGACUAGAGAAUAGUUGCGGUAGGCGGAAUGUAUGGUGUAGCGGUGAAAUGCUUAGAGAUCAUACAGAACACCGAUUGCGAAGGCAACUUACCAAACUAUAUCUGACGUUGAGGCACGAAAGCGUGGGUAGCAAACAGGAUUAGAUACCCUAGUAGUC
rnacentral:rRNA from 1 species